rnacentral:rRNA from 1 species
ACGGGUGAGUAAUGCGUAGGAAUCUACCUAGUUGAGUGGGAUAGCCUAGGGAAACUUAGGGUAAUACCGCAUAAGUCUUACGGGAGAAAGCAGGGGACUGUAAAAGGCCUUGCGCGAUUAGAUGAGCCUACGUCGGAUUAGCUAGUUGGUAGGGUAAAGGCCUACCAAGGCGAUGAUCCGUAGCUGGUCUGAGAGGACGACCAGCCACACUGGGACUGAGACACGGCCCAGACUCCUACGGGAGGCAGCAGUGGGGAAUAUUGGACAAUGGGCGGAAGCCUGAUCCAGCAAUGCCGCGUGUGUGAAGAAGGCCUGCGGGUUGUAAAGCACUUUCAGUGGGGAGAAAGAAGUUUGUGUUAAUACCACAGAUGGAUGAUGUUACCCACAGAAGAAGCACCGGCUAACUCUGUGCCAGCAGCCGCGGUAAUACAGAGGGUGCGAGCGUUAAUCGGAAUUACUGGGCGUAAAGGGUGCGUAGGUGGUUAAAUAAGUUACAUGUGAAAUUCCUGAGCUCAACUUGGGGACUGCGUGUAAUACUGUAUGACUAGAGUACUGUAGAGGGAAGUGGAAUUUCCGGUGUAGCG